rnacentral:lncRNA from 12 species
AAAUAAUGCGAGGAGAGAGGAGAAAGUUAUUAGAUGAGCAAAGAGAGAAUAAACACCUGUGCGCGCACGUUCUAAUCUCUAAAUGCGUCAAGAACGUAAACAACAGCGCUCAACUGUCACGAUGCUACUGCUGCUGCUAUGGGGAAGGAGCGAGGAGCAAAGGAGUGAGGAGACAUGGUGGAAUCCAUGAAGAAAGUCUUUCCCUGCGUUCCUUUCGGAAGGGCUCAUGCCUAUACCCUAAUCCCUUCAAAGGGUUUACCCUCCGGAGUGAGAGCUUCGAAGGGUUGUAGGGUGUAGGGGACCAAACAACUGUUUCUUGAAGUGCCCUUCUGCGUCAUCAUCACGUGCCCAUACGGAGGCACUGUCAUCAUGCAAAGAAUCUGCGCAAAGGAUCAUGGGAGCCUGAAGUGUCCAUCAGUUGUACCCUACGAAAUCCUUCAUUCCGAAAGGUCCUUUGAAGUUGCCAGUUUUGAGCACUUCAGUUUGGAACAACCCUUCAAUAUGGCGGCCAUGAUUGUUUUCAUUCCGAAGUGCCCUUCGGAGGGCGAUAUAUCCCAUUUGGAAUGUACAGAUUUUUUCCAUUAUAUGACUUAUAUGACGUAUUUCCUGUAUUUGGCCCAAGUGUUCAAGUGAGAAUGAAGACCACAAGUGUGGGUCAAACAUUGUCUUCAGAGAUGUUUAUAGAUAGCUGAACUGAAUUUAUUUCAUAACUGAGGAACUUUACAUUUCUGAACCGAACUGAAUCAACACUAAACUGGAGUGAGCUAACAGUAUUGUUACAAAAAAUCAGCUACUUCUACUUCAACUUUACUUCUACUAAUUGAUGAAUAAAAAAUGCACGAGGUGUUUUUGCUUUAUAUUUGUAUUCUAAUUUAUGAAGGUGCUGUAAAUGUAAUCGUUAUUCUUGUAACAUAUUCAUAUUUUUUACAUAUAGAAGGUAUUUUAAAUGGAAAUGGAAAAAAUUGUCCUAACCCUAACCAAAAGGAGAUUUAGCACUGAAAAUGUGUGCUUUAUUAGAUAGAUCACAGAGAUUUUAAUGAAGAAAAAUAUUCCUUUUCUUCCUGUAGAAAUGUUUGCCUGGCAGAAUAUCAAACAUUCAUAUUCAUUAACAUUGUUAAUAAUCUAAAUGGGAAUCAGAGUAUUAGAUGGAAUCAGAAAGUGGGAUGAAAGUCAUUGAGGAAACAUUAU